rnacentral:lncRNA from 1 species
UCAUAUUAACAUCUACCUUCGACAUCUUUUUAUUGAUAGUCUUGCCCUCGGAUGGGUUUUGAUUCUUUUUCUUUUUUUCUUUUUAAAUUGCUUAGCUGAUGAGAGAAGAAGAUGGAUGUGAUAAAGCAGGCAACCCAAGGCCCUAUAGAGCUCAAGAAGAUGCAGUAACAGCAGCCUUGGUUGGGUUAAAUGCAACCUGCUCGGCACAAGUUAGCACUUCAUGGGGCCCUGCUUCCUCUCGUCCGACACCCAUAAGGUCAAGGUAGUACUGGUAAUGGGAAACGAUGGUGUUCAUGGCAUCAAUGUCGCCCUGCCCACAAAGUUGAUCGCCAUAAAGAAUAUUCAUUGUAGCACCAAAUCCAGGAAACCUCUUGCUCAAAGUAUCAUUCUUGGUGGGCUUCCAAUUGCCAACAAAUGCAUCGUGCGCUGAGGGUUGUGACUUCUUGAUAGCAGUCAUCCACCUCCAUAUUGCAGCCUGGAAAGCAAGAGUAGCAUUCUGCUCAAUGUAUUCGGGAUGGUUCAACAGAUCAACCUUCAAAGCUUCUCCAGCUGCACCAUAAUUGUAGUUCCUGGAUGGCAGCACCAAUAGAAACUUACAAACAUUGUCUACUCAACGAGCUCAUUAUAAACUAACAUAUCAUCUACAACUCUCGUAUGACACUAAAUUUGAGGAAAAGAGAAAAGUGGCAAUAGCUAGACUAUGCAAAAAACUGACAUGUAAAUUGAAGACAACAUGCCGGACCUACAAAACAACUCUAUCAUUUACUUCUGAGUAUAUCAAUGAAUAAUCUCAUUUUAUAACAGCUCUAUUCCUCCACAAGACAACUGAUAUCCUCCGGUUAAGUUAUUAGGUAAAAGAGAGUUUGGAAAAAUAAUAAAAGGAAAUUCACAUAAACAAAUUAUGGGGGUGGAUUAAUUAUGAAAUAAAAACAAAAGGAAUACAAACCAGUAGAUUGGCAAAGCACCACGACCAUAGUAUUCAGCUCCAGGAGUGCAGGGGUAUGUGUAUUUGUAGUAGUCAUCGCAGUAUGACUGCAUGGGACUCAUUUCCCUGUUGUAGCAAAGUCCCCAGGCCAAUGGUCCUCCUGUGGCCACACCAUAACCACCUGGAAAAAUCAUUGCUCUCGCCGUCAUCAACCAUAAAAACAAUGGUGCGCAUAUGUGAAUUUCAGCAAAAGCUUAUUCUAGCUUAUCCAAUCUAGAGUUGUAUUAAGCCCGUUCUACUUUGUAUCCACAACAAUAUCAAGUUUUAACAAUAUGUAUUUGUGAUCAAUCAUUUUUUUCCCAUAGUUUUAAUAUUUACUAUCAUUGUAAUUCUCAUUCUUUACUUGAUUGACCAAUUAUUCAGCUGAUCUAUCUAAACAUAUGAAAAAAGUAAAAGAUAAAAAUUUCUAACCCUUUUAGUUCUUCACAUCCCUGUUUCUAUGUUCUAAGUGAAAUUCAAUCUGAUGUUUUCACAAGACCCACAUUGUUCAUAAACCCAAUUAACUCAAACUUAACAAAUCACAAUCAAAUCCUAUCAAACCUCACCCGCAAAAACACAACCCAUAAUUCAAUUCAACAUUUGAUUCAACCAUUUUAAGCAUCCAACAAAAGCAUUACAAAUAACAACAGCUGCCCACUAUAACAGUUCUAUCCUAAACCAUCUACAUAUUUAUAUAUACACAUCCAUAUACUGUAUGUCCAUGAAGAUAGGACUUGCAGUUGCUGAAAACACAAACUUUUCAUAAACCAAAUUCACUCAAACUUAACAAAUCCCAAUCAAAUCACCCUAGCCCAUUCUAUUCAAAAUUUGAUUCAACCAUUUUAAGCAUCCAACAAAAACAUAACAAAUUAAAGACAAUUACCCACCAUAACAAUUCGAUACAAAAUUCUUGACACACCACAGAACUUAACAGAAGUGGUGACUUACAAGUGGUUUUGCUGCCGACAUGUCCAAGAAAGGCGGCGAUCUCCUUCAUCUGCAUAAGCUUCCCACCAGUGGUCCCGAACCCAAGAGGCUGGAAGAGGGCAGAAGCAGUAAUAAACGACUGAUAAUCCCAAAACCCAACGGCAUGCGCCACCGGCGUGUUUCUUUUGGAGAAGAGAUUCUCAAACUGGUAAGUUUGGAAGAAAUCAGAGAUGGUGAGAUUGCAACAGUACUGGGACCACCCUUUACACUCCCACCCUCUGUCACACACCUUCUUCCCCCUCACCGUCUUCACCCGCGGGGUCGUUGACGGCAUAUCGCCGUCGCUGCUGGCACCUAAGAAAACACUCAGCACCACCGCCACCGCCAAUGCAGCAGUGGAAAUCUUCAUGACGGCUAGAGAGAGAGAGCUGAAAUGGGUUGAUGGGAGAGUUUGGGAUCUGACUGGUUUUGCUGAGCAAUUUGCAGGUUAAGAGCUUUUGUUUGUUGGUGUUUUGGGCUGUCGUAAGGCAAGAGUUUGACGGGGUGUCGUUUUCGGGGCUGUGGGUAGAUGCGUGCUGUGGGGUUAAAUGUCGAGCAGGUGGUAUGGAAAUGGACGGCCGAUGAUGGAUUGGGGAUGGGAAAGUGUUCGAGGUUUAAAGAGAGAACAGACUGGAAUAAUGUUGGAGGGGGCUGACCCACGAAGCUCCACCGACAGCGCCUGGAGUGUUGUGAAGUGUCCUUACUGCCCUUGUUGACACUUGGCAGAUCCAUGGAAUAGAAAUGGGGAUGGGUCGACUCAAACGGAUACCCAGCCCUUUUACCGGCUUUUUUUUUUGUUCAAUCGGAUGGGUCGACUUAUUGGAAUUCAAACAUGAGAGAAUCUACAAGCAAAUGCUACCCGUUGCCCUUUUACUGACUUCAUUGAAUUUAGGGAAGAGAAUAAGAGCAUUCACAAUGGUUGACGUUAUCGAAGGAAGUGAAAGCGAAUAAGAGCAUUUAGAAUGAUUGUUUAAUAGUUUAAUUCAAUUUGAACUAUUUUGGCAUUUGUUGAAUUGAACCUCAGUUGUAUUUGCAAUGUUAUAGUUCAAUAACUUCAACUUAUUGACAUGUGAGUCUCAUAAUUAACCUAUUGCAAUUUAAUAAAGGGUUCAUCACCAAAACCGACCUUGACCUAGGGCGAUCAGCGCCAUAGCUCAGGGCCUAUAUAUAUAUAUAUUUAUAAAAUAAAAUAAAAUAAAAAGAAACUAAAUAGUCAAGUGAACAAGAAUUGAAGUAUUGAUAACCUGUUGGGCAAAGUCGAAGUGAUUGAUUCAUGAAUAUGUGGGUUUCAACCAGCAUCAAAGCCAACGUAAAAAAUACUUUUAAGGAACUGGUAUUUCCUCCGAUGUCUUAGCUAUCUUGAAGAGAACACAGUUGAAUGAAGGGUUGGAGUACGUGGAAUUUUGCAAUUUGGAUUUUGAAGAUCUAGAGGUAUCAAAACUUUCGUUGUUUGUUUUUUUUCUCUUUCUUUUCCGUUUGGGUUGGUUGAGCGUUCUUUUGUUUUUGGCUCAACAAUUUUACUCACUAUCUUUUUGUUGUUAGUUUUCUUAACUUUUUUAUUUUAAGUUGCUUUGAAUGUUUUUAUUUUUAUUUUAUACGAGCUUUUCAUGUUUAGUUUAGUUUUAUGUGAUUCUAUUUUAAUGGAAAAAAAAUACUCAAAAUUCAGGUGUUAUUGUUCUCUGUUUAUUAGUUAAAUUAUUAAAGUAGAAUCCUUCAUGCUUGAGUGUGAUUGAUCAUAUUUUUAGUUUCUUUAUUCCUAUUGCCUCUAUCUUCCUGUGCAAAAAAGCUUUCUUGUAACAAAACAAAAAACUUUCUUUUAAGUGUUUCUCCUUAUUGUGGUGAUUGUUGAGAUUUUUAUUGUUAUUAGUUGCGUUUAUUAUAAAAUUUAAAACUUAGAAACCUUAAAAAGAAAAAAAAGAAAAAAAAAGGAAAAAUAAGAAGACAUUGCUCAAAGUCUUAAAAAUUCUUUGGAUAAAAAUUUUCUUUAAAAAACUAAAGAUUUGUUUAUAAAAUAAAAUAUAAAAAAUUAAAGUUUUAGUGAUUAAUGUGCGUGUAUAUGGGGACACUUUAGACUUUCGCCCUGGGCCUUUGAGAGCUCGGGACUAGCCCUGUUUAUCACAAAGCACCCUCUAUUGCAAUUGCAUCUAUUGCAUCUAUUGCAAUGAACUAAAUCACACUAUUGCAAGUGAGAUUUUCCUGUUUUAAUUCAAUUUCAUGCAAUAAAAUUACAUUGAUCUUAACUAUUGCAGGUGCUCUAAGAUGAUUCACUUAUGCACUCAAACCAAAAUUUGGGAUAGUUUUCUUUUCAAAUAUCCAUCGAAAAAAGGAAAAAUUACUCUGGAGAAAAUACAUUAGGGAUUGAAGAGGCCCAAUAAAUUAAGACCGAAAAGAAUUAAGUUUUUUUAUAUAAGUGAUAUUGGAAGAAAAAUUAAUCAAAGUUAGGAAUUCAGGUGUAUGGAUGCUCUUAACUACUUUCUACAAGUGCCUUGCAAAAAUGAAAUAUUGUGUCUUUGAGAAGACUUGAAACUUUAACCUCAAAGGAGGAAACCUCUACCACAACCACUACACUAAUCUUGUUUGUGUAUGUUCAAAAAUGCAUAUAGAUAAAAUCAACAUUUAUUGAGCUUCACCAAAAGUAAAAAGGUACGUUUAAAAGAUUAGUGAAAUACAAUCCAGAGUGAGCCCUACAAGGGGUGUCCCUCAAAUAAGCUUAUUUGAGGGAUCCCUCAAUGGAAGCUCUCUGUAUAUAUAUAUAUAUAUAUAUUUAAAAUAUAAGCGAUAGUCUAAAUGAAAAAGAAAAGGGGUUUCUCACACACACUAUCAAUGUGUUAUGAAAGUUCGAACCUACAGUCAAGACGCUUUUAUAUUAGGCUAGACUCCGUUAACUUAAGUGACUUUAUUUAAGAGAACAAAACCAGCACAAACAAAAGGUUUAAAGGCCAAAAUCCAACAAAACCUAGAAUGAGAGCAAAGGAUCACUGCCACCUACCACAAAGCAAAGAUGAGCAUCGACUAAAAGCAGCUGCAAGCUUACAACAAGGGCCAAGCCGAAAGAACAUUGUUUAACCACAUGUUCGAUCACUUGACUGAGGAAAGGCCUUUGUUUUAUUUAUUCAUUUAACAAUAAUAUAUGAGCAUCUCUUAACCAACUAAAUAACAAUGAACGUAUCGGAUUCACACAAAAUUAAAUGCAUCCAUUCAAAGUAGAUGGAAAGCAUGGUCGAGGAAUUUUUAUAUGGGCUGGUUAUAAAUGAUCUCUCAGAACAUGCAUGUAGAUAAAUCCUACCAUAAAUAGUAGGUGGCAGGUACAGAUGUGAUAUUUUCACACCGAAAAGAUAAUAUUGGAACACAUCAGAUAAUGUCGUACAAAUUAUAUAUUUUUGUAAUUAGUUUGACAAAUUACAAAAAUAAACAAGAUUGACAGCCGUUAGGCCAACUGUCAAGAAAAAAAAGGUCAUAACCCUUUCUUGUCAAACAAAGUAAAUACAUAGUGAGAAAUUCUUCAAAUAAUUUUAUUUGAAGUACACGAAAGUUCAUAAUCUUUUAUAAAUUUUUUUUUAAUGAUUUAAAUGAUUUAUUUUUUUAAGUUUAUAUUUACAGAUUAUUUUUGUAAAAAAUUAUAUAAAUUGGAAACCGUUUCGACAUCCAAUUGUGUUCUUCAAUAAACACAGUACUUCAAAAAAGUAAUAAAAUUUUAAUAACUCAAUUGAGUUGUCAAAUGAUAUCGGAUUCAAGUGAUUUUUUGUAGAGAUAAUCUUUGAAUAAAUAUCUAUAAAAAUAGACGGUUUUAAUUAGUGAAAUAUAAUACGAAAUGGACCCUAUAAAGGUGUUCCUCAAAUAAACUUAUCCGGAUACAUUGACCAAGCCAAGAAGAAAAGAAUAAAAAUAAGAGCAAGUAGGUUAAAAACCUAAAACCAAUUGAUAUCCAGCCAAAAGAUUGCGUUGGACUACUUGAAGACUGAUGUCCAUCACAGAUGUUAAUCCCGUGACGCUACAGCAUGGCCAAUUUCUCGGUUCACGGGCUGCAUGCAUGGCCCCAUUCCUUCCCUAUCCCUCCCACCAAUGCUCUUUUUAUUGUCAAUAAAUAAAUAAAGAAAUAAAAACCCACCAAUAUAAUCCUUUGGUUUCCCUAUAAAACCCACCGACUAGGAGCUCCUAAAAUCCACACACACACACCAAAGAAGUAAAAGAGAAUCAGUAUUUAAUGAUCAUGAAGGGUUUUCAUCAAAAGCUCCUAGUUGUUGUGGCUGUGGUUUUGGUUGCACUUGCAAGCAAUGGUGGUUUUGUUCAGGUUUGUGAUGCUCAGAACAUAUGCAAUGUCUCUUUGAAUGGUUUGAUGACUUGCAGGCCAGCCGUGACCGCCCCGAACCCGGCCCCGCCUACAACCGCCUGCUGCUCGGCGCUGUCACAUGCCGACAUGGGCUGCCUUUGCUCCUACAAGAACUCCAACCUCUUGCCUUCUCUAGGGAUUGACCCUAACCUUGCCCUCCAGCUUCCUGCCAAGUGCAGGCUUCCUCAUCCUGCCAAUUGCUAGACAGUGUGGUUUAAUAAACAACGUGAUAUAUAGUGAUUAAGAUGUGAUUAAUCAUGUAAUCACAUGUUGAACUUGGAUAAUGAUGUCUACUAUAUAAUUAAGUGUUUUGAGUUGAAUAACCAUGUUUCAGUGUUGUUGUACGUAGCUUACGGGUUCUUGCAAUUUGCUACGAUGUUGCUGGAUAUGGAAUAUGUAAUACAGUAGUACUAUAAUAUAAACCUUGGUUUUCACUAUAUAAGUAGUUGCCUGGAAUUUCUCUCAGUUGGUUUGGUUCUUCCACUUCCACUCAUGUAAGCAGAGAUUAAAAAUACCGAAACACUCGAUGAAUAUUUGUGUAAAUCCCUCUCCUCCAAUCACUUGUAUUAAAAAUAAAAUAAAUAAAAAUUUACGGUUGAAGUCGUGUGUAUUACCAUUACUUGUAUUAAAAAGAAAGUAAGCCCCUCUCUUCCAAUCAGUUUUUGCCUUAUUUUUUUAUCUGCGUGAAUUAUAAGUCACGCAUCUUUGUGUUGUCUUUCUUAUGUAAUAAGCACACUUCAUGUCUUGUCUUUUAGGUAUACGUAACCUGUCUUUAUAGACCAUUGGAUUGAAAAUAAAAAAAUAAAAAAAUAGGUAAAUCUACACCAUUCAAUUUGGGGUAACCUGAAAACCUGUUAUUGUAGGUUAAAAUUAAAAUAUAUUUGGGAUUUGAAGAGGGGAAUUUUCUUACUGCAUCAACUCUCAAGGUUUGGAAAUCUCCAGAUCUCUUAGUUUAUUUGCAUACUAUAAAUAUAUAUUUAUUUUUCAGUGAGUGGAAUGAAAAUUUAUGUUGCUUAGUUUAGUUUGAUACUUUUAAUACAAAAUUAGUGAAACACCCUAUAAAAGUAGUUGUCGAAAGAUCAUCUCGUGACAAAAAUUGAGUUACGAAGAAAUCGGUAAACAUUAUCUAGAAUGUGUAUAGGAUAAGCGUGUGAGUACUUCUUGUAAUCAUCGUUCUAUAGUGGAUUUGUUUUGGACUGAGGAGUCCCAUGGAUUUUCCUCAAAAGUGGGAUUUUACUACGUAAAAUAAUUUUCUACGUGUUCCUUUAUUUUUGCGCAUGUUUCAGGAUUGAUAAGCCAUAUCAAUCCUACUACUGAAGUUUAUUUUUAUUUUUUUAUUAUAAUUUUAAAUUGACCUAUUCACUCCUUUCUAGGCAUUUUCACUUAUUAGUUAUAAAUUAAUGGCAUGUUACCCAUUUUCAGGCGAUGGAUACCAAAGCAAACAACUCGAACAAAAGCCAAAAGAGCCCUGCAAUGCGAAGAGUGAAUGGGUGCUAGUCACAACAUAACAAAUUGUCCAAAUCAUAAUCUUAAUGAUAUGGGUAAGUGCAAAAAGGGUUAUACAAGCGACGGGAGCGACUGUCUCACUAGUUUUGGAUCAUGAGAGGAUAAAACUCGUUGGAACUAAACAUUACCUACAUCCUUGACGUUGGGGAAUUGGAAUACAAUAACGUUGUAUAUUAGAACCUAAAUCUUAUAAAUUACAAGAUUUAUGUGCCUAUUUAAGAGUUUAUGCAUAUGGUUUACCAUGUCAUGGUAAACUCUAAUCCAUAAUAUGAUAAUCUUCUAUUUAUACUUUUAAGGAUCCAAAUUACAAUGAAUUGGUAAUGGUGGACGUUAAAGAUGUAAAUGAGGUCAUAUUUCAAGUAAAAACAUGUGUUUACUAUAAUAAGGACUAAUAUUACAAUGUUGGUGUCACGCCCUAGACUCGGGGUCGGUGGAAACUCCUCGCCAGGUGCGUAAGAAAAUAAAAAGUAAAAUAAAAUAAAAAGAAGCCGAAACAUGGAUUUAAAAUAAACUUCUUAUAAAAAUGGCUCCAAAAUCUUACAACUUUACAAGAAAUAAAUAAAGCUCUAUCACUCUCAUCUAAUUCAGCCUCAACUGGUUUAGUCCUUGCCUUAUCCAAAUUCAUCUAGGUGAAGGAUGAGCAACCACCGCUCAAUAGGGACAUGAGACCUUACAAUAGUAGAUUGAUAUAACUAAAAUAAGUGAGAUGCAAUCGCACAACCAGAUAUCACAUUAAUUGAAGGGACCCGCCACGAAUUCCCCCUCGGAAUCUAUAACGAACCCUCUCCCUACCCGACACUAAGCAUGUGCCAGCCCAAAUUACUAAAAUACCAUGUUUGCCCUAAUUCCAAAACAAUUUUAGAGUUUGACUUUUACCGGAAAUUUGGCAGAGCCUCCCUUGAAACUGGCUCAAAACCCAAAAAUUUACUUGCACAGCAAACACAAUUAUUUCCCAAGCGUUCAGCAAGCAUAAACCACACACCAAUUAGCAAAAGUUUCAAUGGGCUUCAAGCCCACCUUUACCAACAUAAGAAAGUCAGCAAAAACAUCUUGACAUAACUGAACAUAACAAACAAAUCCUAAACUCGCGGUUGCACCUAGGUUAGCCUAGGUCACCUACAUAUCCUUACUGAGGGAUCAAGCCACACGUAAUUCUUUCUGUCAUAAAUUACAAUUAAGAUAUUACAUAAAUGUUCAAAGUGAAACCAACAAUAAAAUUCUAGAAUCAUUCUUUACCUUGAUUUCAACAAGCUACAUAAUUGAAUGUCAUGUCUUGAAAUUAUCUACCUAACUGUUCAAUCAGUUUAUCAUUGUACAUCAAACACAUAUGUAACCAAGCCUUUUACGUGAAAACCAUACCUGUGACUAUCAGCAUAGUGCAUAUGUCUUGUAAUGACUCACCAAAGGGUAUAUGAGAAAUAUCAUUAAAUUCGAAGGCAACCGGGUAAGGGGAAACUAGCCAAUCACAUGUGGCUAAGGAUCCUGGCCAACCCUGUGUAGAUAAUAUGAGCAGGGUGGCAAAGAGUAUCCUGUUAACUGUAUAAACAUAUCAGUACUACACUGUUCUCCACAUAGGUGUAACCCAAACAUAAGUAGUCAAUUCCAUAUACUACACUUGUGGAAUGGUCCACUCCACAUGUGUGGCACAUCUUAGCAGAACUCAAGGAGAAAUGGUCAACUUGAGAACGUAAUCCAAGCAUAACUCAGGGAGAUAUACUCAACCUAAGAAUGCAAAUCCUAGCAUAACUUAGGGAGAUAUACUCAACCUGAAAACGAAAAUCCUAGUAGAACUUAGGGAGAUAUACUCAACCUAAGAACGCAAUCCUAGCAUAACUCAGGGAGUUAUACUCAACUUGAGAACACAAAAUCCUAGCACCACACUGUUUAGGCAUACCCGAUACUAAUGGGGCUCAUCCGAAGGCAACCAAGUCGUCCGAAAACAAUCUGAAGGCAACCAUAUUUCCGAAGGCAACUGUAUGUCUGAACACAUUCGGAAGGCAACUGUAUGUCCGAAGACAUUCCAAGGGCAACCAUAUGUCCAAAGGCAACCAGGAUGUCCGAAGACAUCAAUAUCUCUGAAGGCAAAGAUAUUUCCAAAGGCAAGCGGGAUGUCUAAAGACAUCAAUAUCUCUGAAGGCAACAGUAUUUAUGAAGGCAAUACAAUCCAAUUUUAAACCAUUUAACACAUAUGUAAAAAUAAACAUGGAUAUAUCAUGCUUGGAAAGUAAAAGAGAUAGAACAACAAUUCAUAAAUAUUUUAUACAACUCCCAUAGCAUAAUACCAUUUUAAAACAAACAAUCAAAUCACAAACGCCUCCUAACCAAUUGAUCACGAUCAGGCCGACGAGUCCCACCAUCUAGGUCAAUUAGGCCCGCGGGGCCAUGACCUCUGAUUUUCAAUCCGAAAGUUCAUAUAGGUCAAACAAAGUCUACUAAACAAGUUCCGAAGGUUUGGUCUCGAUCAAGUGGUCAGAUCUAAGCCAAUUGCACGACCGGACGACGAUUACUUCGCCUAACCUUAGAAUCAAUUACUCGGAGUAUCUGGGACUCCGAUUCUCGAUCCGUAAGUUCCUACAGGAUCCUAGAGGUACAUGGAACAACAUAAUUGAAAUUGGAGCCGAUCUAACGGUCUGAACCUAUCGGACCCAAAUAUCACAUAAUAAGUGCAAUAUCUGUUCGAUAGUCAAACGGUAACCAACUUCAAAUAUGAUUAUACCAUCGUGCUCAAAAUGACGUGGGCGGCAUUUUAGAACACAAUGGGCCGCCACUCGCCGCUGGCAGUGGUGGGUGCCUUGAGAAAAUUCUGACAACGAAAAAUUCUCAAAACUCCCUACAAUACUUAUACCAACACGUUCAGACUAACAAGGGGAACGAGUUUGGUAUCGGACCCCGAACAAAAAGUGAACGGAAAUUAGUAAAUGGCGGCCAAACUGUCGACCAUAAAUGGGUGUUUGAUUAAUUUCCAAAACUCCACAAUUGAUCCAAAAUAACCACAAAAACAGCAAGAACACAAGGAGAGGAUGAAAAACCAUACCUAGAUCGACAAUUUUGGAUGUUGGAGCCGUCGGAAAUGGUUUCAGAAAAGUUUGAAACCCUUAGUGCUUUCGGAGCUCACCGCGGCUCAGGGAGGGGCUGGGCUCGAUGGAGAUUGACCUAGACAAGAUCGUUGGCUCCUUACGGUCAUUUCUCGACUAGUGACGAGGCCUGGUGUGGCGGGAGCAUCGAGAUCGCUGGUCAAAGAGCCAACUAUGUUGCCGCAUGCGAUGGUGAGGAGAGAGAAAAAAAUGAGGUAGAGAAGGGCUGACCAGUUUUUAAAAUUUGACUUUGAGAAAUUUACGGUUAUGCCACUGCACUUCCAUAUAUCAUAACUCCUUUGUUUUAAAUCGAAAUUGAGCAUGCCGCCUGUCUACAAACUCAUAAGCUCGAUCACUACGCAAUGGAACCAAUAAAAUUUUCAAAACUAGCCAUGAGCAAAAAGUCAACUCUAAACCAUCAAGGAAACCUAAGGUUAAAGUCGUCCUUUCACUUUAGAAUUUUGAAAAUUAAAUUAAAUUUCGGGAUGGGAUGUUACAUUAAUAAUAUUAAUGCAUGAAUGUUCUUCAUCUACUCGCGUUAAUUCAUAUAACUAGACGAGCAGACCUACACUUCCCAUACCAUGCUUAUACCACCUAAACCCGAAUGCCCAUUUAUAUGAACUGACACCCAUUUCAAUAAUCCCAUAAUUCCUUUUUUGUUAGUCAUCUUGUCUAACUCCCUGUCGCCAAUCCCACAUCACCCAAUAAAAACCAUGAGCACAGUGGGAUCCCUAAGAUCUGGUACGUACCUUACAAGAGUUAGACUCAACUACAUAAAAGAUUAUUUCAAUUACCCUCUUUUCCAUCAUUAUUUUAUCAACACAACAACUCCAAUCAAUUUUCAUGACAUGAUAUAAUUAUAUCUUUCACAUAGCCCAUAUAUCUCACAACAAUGUAACCAUUUAAAAUAUCACCAAUUAAUGUAUAUAUAAUUAUGCCAACAUUAUUCAACCAGUCAAUAACACAUAAACAUUCCAAGGAAGCCAUUCAAUUGUAACAAGAACAUUAACUAAAUAAUCAUAUCAUGCAUAAUAUAGUGCUCACAAAAUUUAAUUAAAUCAAUCUCUAUAAAGGCCCCCAAGAACCCCUAAUUGCCUCGUUUUAAAGCUAAUUCCAAGUUAAGAAAACACACGAGCUAGAACCUCUAACUCCUCCAGGAAUUCUAUCACCAUUAGCUUUCUUUCUUCCUUUAUCCUCUUCCUCUCUCUCUCUGUCUGCCUCUCUCAAGAACUAUUACUUUGCAUGCAUUGCAUGCAAUGUGCAACCUCAAAUAUUACACAAGGUUUGUGUACUUUCAAAAGUAGCAACGGAGGGGUAAGAAAAGAACCAGUGGAUAUCGAACUAUCAAAAGACCCUUUUUGGUACGCGCCCCACGCGCGGUCAAGUUUUCUGAGUUUUUCAGAUCUGCGAUUUCGUUUUUGACUCCGUCGUACUGGAGGCCACGGUGGCUUCCAGGUUUUGUUCUU